rnacentral:rRNA from 1 species
GUGCCAGCCGCCGCGGUAAUACCGGCAGCCCGAGUGAUGGCCGAUCUUAUUGGGCCUAAAGCGUCCGUAGCCAGCCGAACAAGUCCGUUGGGAAAUCCACCCGCCUAACGGGUGGGCGUCCGGUGGAAACUGCGUGGCUUGGGGCCGAAAGGCGCGACGGGUACGUCCGGGGUAGGAGUGAAAUCCUGUAAUCCCGGACGGACUACCGAUGGCGAAAGCACUCUGAGAAGACGGCUUCGACAGUGAGGGACGAAAGCUCGGGUCUCAAACCGGAUUAGAUACCCCAGUAGUCC